AUUGAACGCUGGCGGCAGGCCUAACACAUGCAAGUCGAACGAGUGGCGGACGGGUGAGUAAUGUCUGGGAAACAGCCUGAUGGAGGGGGAUAACUACUGGAAACGGUAGCUAAUACCGCACACCAUCAGAUGUGCCCAGAUGGGAUUAGCUAGUUGGUGGGGGAACGGCGCACCAAGGCGACGAUCCCUAGCUGGUCUGAGAGGAUGACCAGCCACACUGGAACUGAGGCACGGUCCAGACUCCUACGGGAGGCAGCAGUGGGGAAUAUUGCACAAUUGGCGCAAGCCUGAUGCAGCCAUGCCGCGUGUAUGAAGAAGGCCUUCGGGUUGUAAAGUACUUUCAGCGGGGAGGCGUUACCCGCAGAAGAAGCACCGGCUAACUCCGUGCCAGCAGCCGCGGUAAUUC
rnacentral:rRNA from 1 species